UACGAAGGGUGCAAGCGUUACUCGGAAUUACUGGGCGUAAAGCGUGCGUAGGUGGUGAGUUAAGUCUGUCGUGAAAGCCCCGGGCUCAACCUGGGAAUGGUGAUGGAUACUGGCUCGCUAGAGUGCGGUAGAGGAGAGUGGAAUUCCCGGUGUAGCAGUGAAAUGCGUAGAGAUCGGGAGGAACAUCAGUUGCGAAGGCGGCUCUCUGGACCAGCACUGACACUGAGGCACGAAAGCGUGGGGAGCAAACAGG
rnacentral:rRNA from 1 species